ACUUUCUUCGUCCACCUGUGCACACUCUGUAGGUCUGGAUACCCCAUUUGAAGGGUGCGUUUAACGCCGCUCCCUUUGCCUUCCAGGCCUAUGUCUUAUAUAAACACUUUUGUAUGUAACGAAUGUCAUUGAUUAUUGGACUUCACCGUCCUUUAAACUAAAUACAACUUUCAACAACGGAUCUCUUGGCUCUCGCAUCGAUGAAGAACGCAGCGAAAUGCGAUAACUAAUGUGAAUUGCAGAAUUCAGUGAAUCAUCGAGUCUUUGAACGCACCUUGCGCCCUUUGGUACUCCGAAGGGCAUGCCUGUUUGAGUGUCAGUAACUUCUCAACCUCCCUCACUUUUUUGUGAGCUGGCGGAUUGGAUGUGGGGGCUUGCUGGACCUUCCCUGGUUCAGCUCCCCUGAAAUGCAUUAGCAGAAACCGUUACCUUUUGGCGCGCUGCAGCUGUGAUAAUUAUCUACGGCUAUGGCUGGGCUGACUGUGUUGUAGCGCUUGUCGUCUCUGAAGGGUUUUGCCCUAGUGGCCUUUCCUUUUGCCUUCUCUCUUAACGAGAGAUACCUGUGACACAAGUGCGCGGGCUAUUCAGCUUCUAACGGUCUCCUCAGUGGGACAACUAUUGACCAUUUGACCUCAAAUCAGGUAGGACUACCCGCUGA
rnacentral:rRNA from 1 species